CGGAUGUAGUCUGCAACUCGACUACAUGAAGCUGGAAUCGCUAGUAAUCGCGGAUCAGAAUGCCGCGGUGAAUACGUUCCCGGGUCUUGUACACACCGCCCGUCACACCAUGGGAGUCGGGAAUGCCCGAAGCCAGUGACCCAAGCGAAAGCAGGGAGCUGUCGAAGGCAGGCCGGAUAACUGGGGUGAAGUCGUAACAAGGUAAC
rnacentral:rRNA from 1 species